rnacentral:rRNA from 1 species
AACGCUAGCUACAGGCUUAACACAUGCAAGUCGCAGGGUAACAUGAGGAAAGCUUGCUUUCCUUGAUGACGACUGGCGCACGGGUGAGUAACGCGUAUCCAACCUUCCCAUAACUACGGGAUAACCCGUUGAAAGACGGCCUAAUACCGUAUGAUAUCGUUUGCUGACAUCAAAUAACGAUUAAAGGUUUAGCGGUUAUGGAUGGGGAUGCGUCUGAUUAGCUUGUUGGCGGGGUAACGGCCCACCAAGGCGACGAUCAGUAGGGGUUCUGAGAGGAAGGUCCCCCACAUUGGAACUGAGACACGGUCCAAACUCCUACGGGAGGCAGCAGUGAGGAAUAUUGGUCAAUGGGCGAGAGCCUGAACCAGCCAAGUAGCGUGCAGGAAGACGGCCCUAUGGGUUGUAAACUGCUUUUAUGUGGGGAUAAAGUGCGUGACGUGUCAUGCAUUACAGGUACCACAUGAAUAAGGACCGGCUAAUUCCGUGCCAGCCGCCGCGGUAAAAGGG